AAAUAAACAGUAGUUAGACCUCAACAUUCUAAACAUUUCUGACCUUGUCAGAUUUCUCGAUAUAUAUAUGUUUAUAAAAAAAACCCACAAAACUGGCAUUUAAUCCCUAUGCUAUAUUUUUAGCCAUAGUGGCCAGGUUGGUUGGAAAGAGUUAUAGUCGAAAACAUCUUUAAAAAAUAAAUAAUUCAAAUUAUUACCAAAAUUGGUUACGGGCGACAGACGACGACGACGACGACGACGACGACGACGAACGACGGGUACCAAAGGAUGAGAGCAAGUUGAGCUAACAUUAUGAACAGUAAUAAAUUAACUAGCAUGACAAUAACCACUUCAAUAACACUUACGAUCCGCAAUUCUGCUCGCACCAUACACUGAUGACAUAUUAACCAAUACCAAACAGCAACAGAACAGAGUUGACAACAUCUAAAAAUACAAAAUGCAAUUGAUUUUAUUUUCUUAUUUUCAUCUAAUAUCAUGCUAUGAUUUAUACAUUUUCCAUAUGUGAUUAAAACAGAACCUAUGUCUAAUACACGGAAUGAAUAGUAGACAUUGCUCAUUGUGUUUAUAUAUACAUUUAUAAUUGAAGUAGAUCAAAGUGAAUACUGUUAAUACACGGUC
rnacentral:lncRNA from 1 species